CUAGAAUGUUUUCAGCAGUCACUGAAAGAAAAACGGACUCAUAGAGGCUGAAAACAGUCUUCAGAUGUGAAACUUUCUCAUGAAAAGAGUGGCUGUGCCGUUUUGUGUUCCCAUGAGCAGUGAAUGAGAGUUCCUGUUGCUCCACGUGCUUGUCAACUUUUGGUGUUGUCCGUGCUUUGAAGUUUAGCCAUUCUAACAGGUCUCAAAAUCAAGAGAAGCCACAUUUAGACCUUGUGUAGGGACUAUCACAUGUUCCUGGACUUGGACCCUGGUGCCGUGAUUAGAUGAGACUUUUGGGUGCCCUCCUUUCUUCUAAAAGCGAAAAAUGAAACACACUUUGUUAAAUUGAUGAAGGAGGAAAGAAACAUUGUAUGUUGGGGAGCAGAGGACAGACGCUCUGAAACCUCCCAUGAGGUUUCCAUGGGAACCUCAACCUGGCCUGGGAGGUUAUUCAGACACUGAAGAAAACUUUUGAUGCACUGAGACCAUGAACCGAGAAAACUUGGAAGCCUCUGGUCUGGACUGAAUGUGGAGUUGUGGUCUAUCUGAAUGUAGACUAUACCUGAUGGAUGUAACUCUUAUGGUGGAGAUGAGAUUGUUCUACUCUCUUUAAUGUUGAUAAACAACGGAUUCACACAACUAACUUCUCCUAGUUCCGGUUCCUCGGCACCAAAUUCAGCAUAAUCUGGAGCCAGACUACCUGGAUUCAAAUCUUGUCUCCACCACCAGCUAGUUGUGUCACCUUAGGUGAAUUACUCAACCUCUCGGCACUUCAGUUUUCUCAUCUAUAAAAUGUGGAUGAUCUCCCAGCAAUUCAGAGUGUGACUGCACAUGUAAAGACAUCUCCUUCACUAUCAGAAGCAUUUUGGGGCUGGACUAAGGAUCAUGGUGACUUAGCUUCGAAAGUAGCCCAUGAAUGGACUUUGUCAACAAUUAUAAAACAUUCCUGUCAACUGUGGGGAAGGGCUUUCUAUAGAAAGGAAAGGAGGAUGUGUGGUUUUAUAUUAAAAACAAAACAAAACAAAAAUAAAAUGGGGAUAAUGAUAACUACUUUAAAAGGUAGUUGUGGGGAUUAAGUGAAAUAAUACGUUUUAAGUUCCUAUAACAUGCCUGGCACAUCCUAAACCCUGAAUAAAUACUACUUCUUAUUUUUAUUGUUCUUGUUUUUAACAUUAUGAUUGCUAUUCUUGGUCAUGUGUGCCUUAUUUCUUUAAUUUUGCAAACUUUUACAUUAUCCAUGUCUACACUUAACAUUAAAAAUGAAAGCUGGAUGUUUCAUGAAAGUCCUGGCUUCAAUUCAAGUCUGGGAGUGUGGACAAGUCAGUAAUACCACACAUAUUCCAUUUGCUCAUCUAUAUUUGCAUGGUCCCCCACGGUUGGGGAGAGCCUUGUGGCUAGUUCUGGCCAAUUAAAUGUGAAUGAAAGUGAUGUGUGUCACUUCUAG
rnacentral:lncRNA from 1 species